rnacentral:rRNA from 1 species
GACGAACGCUGGCGGCACGCUUAACACAUGCAAGUCGAACGAGAGAAGAGGAGCUUGCUUUUCUGAUCUAGUGGCGGACGGGUGAGUAACACGUGAGCAAUCUGCCUUUCAGAGGGGGAUACCGAUUGGAAACGAUCGUUAAUACCGCAUAACAUAAUUGAACCGCAUGAUUUGAUUAUCAAAGAUUUAUCGCUGAAAGAUGAGCUCGCGUCUGAUUAGCUAGUUGGUAAGGUAACGGCUUACCAAGGCGACGAUCAGUAGCCGGACUGAGAGGUUGAUCGGCCACAUUGGGACUGAGACACGGCCCAGACUCCUACGGGAGGCAGCAGUGGGGAAUAUUGCACAAUGGAGGAAACUCUGAUGCAGCGAUGCCGCGUGAGGGAAGAAGGUUUUAGGAUUGUAAACCUCUGUCUUCAGGGACGAAAAAAGACGGUACCUGAGGAGGAAGCUCCGGCUAACUACGUGCCAGCCGCCGCGGUAA